AAUUAUUAUAGUGUGAUGAGUUAUAGGUGGAACCCUUUAAUUGGCUUUUGUUUAAGGCUGACACACGAAGUCACAACACCAGAUGCUUGGAAUGUAACGUGCUGCAGCGAAAGAGCGGAGGGGAUAUUAGCAAAUGUCGGAAAAAUGGGAAAAUGCAAGUUUCAGCAGAAGUGAUUGGAGGAGGAACUAUUCAGAACCUGGUUAAAGCCUGUCGAUGGUAAACUGUCAU